rnacentral:rRNA from 1 species
UUCUGCCUACGGGAGGCAGCAGUGAGGAAUAUUGGUCAAUGGGCGGGAGCCUGAACCAGCCACGUCGCGUGAGGGAUGACGGCCCUAUGGGUUGUAAACCUCUUUUGUCAGGGAGCAAAGUCACCCACGUGUGGGUGUUGGAGAGUACCUGAAGAAAAAGCAUCGGCUAACUCCGUGCCAGCAGCCGCGGUAAUACGGAGGAUGCGAGCGUUAUCCGGAUUUAUUGGGUUUAAAGGGUGCGUAGGCGGGUUAUCAAGUCAGCGGUAAAAUCGUGGAGCUCAACUCCAUCCAGCCGUUGAAACUGG